UAAAUAGAUACCCAGGUAGUCCACGCCCUAAACGAGUGCGAACUGGAUGUUGGGUACAUUACGGUACUCAGUGUCGAAGCUAACGCGUUAAGUUCGCCGCCUGGGGAGUACGGUCGCAAGACUGAAACUCAAAGGAAUUGACGGGGGCCCGCACAAGCGGUGGAGUAUGUGGUUUAAUUCGAUGCAACGCGAAGAACCUUACCUGGCCUUGACAUCUGUCGAAUCCUGCAGAGAUGCGGGAGUGCCGCAAGGAACGACAAGACAGGUGCUGCAUGGCUGUCGUCAGCUCGUGUCGUGAGAUGUUGGGUUAAGUCCCGCAACGAGCGCAACCCUUGUCCCUAGUUGCCAACACGUAAUGGUGGGAACUCUAGGGAGACUGCCGGUGACAAACCGGAGGAAGGUGGGGAUGACGUCAAGUCCUCAUGGCCCUUACGGCCAGGGCUACACACGUACUACAAUGGUCGGUACAGAGGGUUGCGAAGCCGCGAGGUGGAGCCAAUCCCAGAAAGCCGAUCCCAGUCCGGAUUGGAGUCUGCAACUCCG
rnacentral:rRNA from 1 species